UAGUAGUUUGACUCCUCGGCUACAGGACGACGCUGGCGGCGUGCUUAACACAUGCAAGUCGAACGGAAAGGCCCUGCUUGCAGGGUACUCGAGUGGCGAACGGGUGAGUAACACGUGGGUGAUCUGCCCUGCACUUCGGGAUAAGCCUGGGAAACUGGGUCUAAUACCGGAUAGGAGCCAUUUUUAGUGUGAUGGUUGGAAAGUUUUUUCGGUGUAGGAUGAGCUCGCGGCCUAUCAGCUUGUUGGUGGGGUAAUGGCCUACCAAGGCGGCGACGGGUAGCCGGCCUGAGAGGGUGGACGGCCACAUUGGGACUGAGAUACGGCCCAGACUCCUACGGGAGGCGGCAGUGGGGAAUAUUGCACAAUGGGCGCAAGCCUGAUGCAGCGACGCCGCGUGGGGGAUGACGGCCUUCGGGUUGUAAACUCCUUUCGCUAGGGACGAAGCUUUUUGUGACGGUACCUAGAUAAGAAGCACCGGCUAACUACGUG
rnacentral:rRNA from 1 species